CUACAUGGCGAGUAAACUGUCGGUGAAAUAGUCGAUAGUAAUUGAGAAAUUGCACUAUGUAUACAUAGAAGAUUACAAAAUUAAGUAUCAGAAAAAAUUAAUGUUGGACCUUCUCUCUAUCAUAAAAAUACCCUUAUACCCUAUUUGCUCUUGACGUUAAAUAUUUUGUUACCUUUUAAUAAUAAUGUUAUCAUCUUCCCAUAAUUAUACAAUCUUUGAAAUCAAAUCAUUGGUUCAAUAGCUGGUAAUUUGUUUAUAUCGUAAAUAAGUAUGAUAAUAUAUAAGUUAUCGGUAAAACAAUAAAUUAUCGGAGUAAAUAAAAAGGUUACUUUAUAAGUUAGCUGAUAACAGUUUUUUAACACGAUAGAUUUAAAUAUACAUUGUAUAAAUUACACGUUAAUAUAUAUAUUAUCCAUUUAUCAAAUAUUUUACCAU
rnacentral:sRNA from 1 species